rnacentral:rRNA from 1 species
UGAGUAACCUGCCCUUGACUCUGGGAUAAGCCUGGGAAACCGGGUCUAAUACCGGAUAUGACUCUCCGCCGCAUGGCGGGGGGUGGAAAGCUUUAGUGCGGUUUUGGAUGGACUCGCGGUCUAUCAGCUUGUUGGUGAGGUAAUGGCUCACCAAGGCGACGACGGGUAGCCGGCCUGAGAGGGUGACCGGCCACACUGGGACUGAGACACGGCCCAGACUCCGUACGGGAGCAG